rnacentral:rRNA from 1 species
GCUAGCGGCAGGCCUAACACAUGCAAGUCGAGGGGCAUCGGGGUAGCAAUACUGCCGGCGACCGGCGCACGGGUGCGUAACGCGUAUGCAACCUACCUUUAACAGGGAGAUAGCCCCGAGAAAUCGGGAUUAAUACCCCAUAGUAUUUUAGAUUGGCAUCAAUUUAGAAUUAAAGCUCCGGCGGUUAAAGAUGGGCAUGCGUGACAUUAGUUAGUUGGUGAGGUAACGGCUCACCAAGACAUCGAUGUCUAGGGGUUCUGAGAGGAUGAUCCCCCACACUGGUACUGAGACACGGACCAGACUCCUACGGGAGGCAGCAGUGAGGAAUAUUGGUCAAUGGACGCAAGUCUGAACCAGCCAUGCCGCGUGCAGGAAGACGGCCCUAUGGGUUGUAAACUGCUUUUAAUUAGGAAUAACCGCCUGGAUGUAUCCGGGUCUGAAAGUACUAAAAGAAUAAGCAUCGGCUAACUCCGUGCCAGCAGCCGCGGUAAUACGGAGGA